ensembl:lincRNA
AGAUGCUGGGCCCGCCCUCCCAGUAGUUGGUGUUGAGGAUGUAGGCUGUGCAAACCCUGUCGCACCUUUCCGGAGGACACCGAGCGAGCGCCCUAAGGAGAGACUAAAGCCCUCUCUUCUAUCCCGUGCUGUCUUCUGCAGAACGGGAAGCCGUGGCUCCUCCACUCCGUUCCGGCUUCAGGCGUCGGUUUCCCCAAAUUGGUGGCAUUCCCAGGAAAUAAAGAGGAACUGCCAACGCUAGGCGCGGGAUGCUGCGCGAGAAACCAAAGAAUGAGUCGGUCUCUCUGGAGCUUCGACCCAGGUAUGAAUAUGCAGCACCGCAUUAUACCCUGGGCAGAUGAUGGACUUGUGCUCUAUAAUCACUAUCUGUCAAAUUAAAAACAAAAAAAAGUCCUCAUAACUUUACCUUCAAUGCUCUAAAGGUAGAACAGCCCGAGCAGUAACCAUAACCACCUUCUCUUACUGUACUUCUACCUUGUUAUUCUGUUAAUAAGAAUUCAGUUGUCCAACCUCAGCUCUACCAUAACCAGUGCCCUGUAUGGAGACGGGCAAGUGCCUGGUGGAUGUCAGUUCAGCAGGUAGACUGAGAAGCCUUCACUGUGUAUCACCCAGGGAAUGCAGGAACACGUUACCUAGAUGUGAGCCUCCCAUAGCUUAUCCAUUUCUCAAUACUCAAGGCAGUUAGUAAACAAGAGAAUGCAUUUGGCAUUAAAAAACAAACAAAAACUUAAGUCAUACUUUUUUGGGGGAAGGAUUAAGAUUUAUUUGAGUUUAUGUGCAUUAGUCUUGCCUGCAUUGUUUUGUCUGUGCACCACCUGCAAACCUAGUACAUGAAAGGGUUAGAGAAGGGUGCUGGAACCCAUGGAAUGGGAAUUAUAGGUAGUUCUAACCUGUAGGUACUUGGAACCGCAACAAGAACUCUUAACGACUGAGCCAUCUCUCUAGCUCCAGUUUAUUCAACAGUACUCAAAAAGUUCUGUUAAUGGUACCAGCCAUUUGUUCUUACUCUCCUAAGAUGGUCAGGUUAAAUAUAAGCAAGACCCAAGUCUAAAACCUUUACAAAGUAAACAUUACUUAAAUUUUACCAACAAACCAAAAAUAAAAUGAAAUUUACAAGAAAAUACUAUCUGGUAAAUUUUUUAAAAAAUAUUUAUUAUUAUAUUUAAGUAUACUGUAGCUGUCUUCAGACACUCCAGAAGAGAAUGUCACAGCUCAUUACAGAUGGUUGUAAGCCACCAUGGGGUUGCUGAGGUUUGAACUUAGGACCAUUGGGAGAGCAGCCAGUGUUCUUAACCGCUGAACCAUCUCUCCAGCCCCUACCUGGUAAAUUCUUACAGCAUCUUGAAACUGUGAGAUACUAUAGUUGUAAUGUACAAAUGAGUUCCUCUGAUACAGGUCAUGUUGCAUGUCACAAAUACUCAGGACAAAGGCACUGAAAUUAAGUUUUAACAACCAUGAAGAGGAAUGCAGUAACUUCUUUACCUGGGCAUCAAAUGUGCGUCCAGAAUGGCAAAGAUUAUUAAGAUCACAAAGGAUGAACCCUGGAAGAAUCUCUUCCUCUUCAAUUCCUUUCAGUCUGAUUUUGAGGUUUUCACCUGGAGCUACAGAGUCUGUUUCUACAUCAUCAGAAAGUAUUCCGAGAACUUCCACGUUGUGCUUAAAAAGAAACCAAAGUUGGAAGUUUUCUGACACAUGAACAUUUUAUAAGAUAUAAAAUGACCUUGAUGUUUAUUAAGAAGCUAAAAAUCUAAAAGUCAAAAUAAAAAUAAAAUGUUUUAGCCAGAAAUAAACUUUUGAGGAAAAGAAAGGGGAUCAAUCUUGGCUUGUCAGACAAGCACUCUGCCACCUGCUGUACAGUUGCAAAUAACAAGUUGCAAAUGUCACAACUUGUUAUUUUUAAACAUCACAUUCUAACAACUUCUAAGUAGAAUACAGAACAAAGUUCAUUUUCAAAAUUAAACCAUUGUAAUGACUAGUACUGUCAAAUCCGGUACACCUGUGAGAGAUUAGCCCCUGGGCAUGCUUGAAGAGAAUUACCUUAAGUUAACUGAUGUAGGAAGAAUCAUCUUUACUGUGGCUGAGGUCAUUCUGAGCUGGGGAACUACACUACAACAUGGAGAAAGUGAGCUGAGAGCUAGUACUUAUCCUCCUGUGAUCGCAAAUGCAUUGUGAUACAUCAGUGGCUUCCAACUUCUGUGGCCUUGACUUUCCUGCCAUGAUGGACUGUACCCUUUAACUAAGAAAAGCUAAAAUAAAGCCUUGAUUCUUUGAGUUGCUUCGCUCAGUUCCCCCAAACUAUUUAUUUUAAGCAUGAGUGUUUUACCUGAAUGUGUAUGUGCCCCACAUGUGUGCCUGGUUCCCAAAAAAGUCAGAAGUGAUAACAUCAGGUGCCAUGGAACUGGAGUUAUAUUUUAUUGGGAGUCACUGUGUCACUGCUGGGAACUGAACCCAGGUCGUCAGCAAGAGCAAGUGCUCCUUAACCACUAAACCAUCUCUCCAGCCUCAUUGCUUUGGUUUUAGAAAAUUACUUUCAUUUAUAUAUAGGUGUGUGCUCAUCUCUGUGUGUAGAGUGCCGUGUAUUGCAUGAAUUAAGUUCCCUUUAAGGGCCAAGUCACCUCUCCAGCCCCUUCCUUGAGUUGUUUUUCUCAGAGUAUUUUAUCAGCCACAGGAAACUAAGACAAACAUCAAAUUUAAUAAGUGGAUUUUUAACUCUCUUAAAUGUAAAUUUCAGAAUUCAAGAAUUAUUUCCCCACAGCAAGUCAAUCCUCAAUUAAGCAGGUAUUAACCUAGAAAGCAUUUAAAAAUAUCAAUCUGUUUCUUGGUAUAAUUUUAUAAUCCCUCAAAAUAAAAAUCAUCAAAUCUACCUUUAAACCCACU